CUUUAUAUCUCACUACGUUCAUAUAAAAC
rfam:Bacillus solimangrovi strain GH2-4 NODE_26_length_52990_cov_1.97438_ID_1267, whole genome shotgun sequence.